GCCUCUGUAGUGUAGUACGGCUUAUCAUCUGGGACUGUCACUCCCAGGACCCGGAUUCAAAUUCCGGCAGGGGCGCCA
rnacentral:tRNA from 1 species